rnacentral:miRNA from 1 species
AGGCCCUCCGUAUAAUGUAAAUGU